rnacentral:tRNA from 1 species
GGCCCCUUAGCUCAGUGGUUAGAGCGGGCGACUCAUAAUCGCUUGGUCGCUGGUUCAAGUCCAGCAGGGGCCACCA